rnacentral:rRNA from 1 species
GUGAAGCUGGAUUCGCUAGUAAUCGCGCAUCAGCCAUGGCGCGGUGAAUACGUUCCCGGGCCUUGUACACACCGCCCGUCAAGCCAUGAAAGCCGGGGGUACCUGAAGUACGUAACCGCAAGGAUCGUCCUAGGGUAAAACUGGUAAUUGGGGCUAAGUCGUAACAAGGUAAC